GAGGGUAUAGCUCAGUGGUAGAGCACGUGCUUAGCAUGCACAAGGUCCUGGGUUCAAUCACUAGUACAUCCA
rnacentral:tRNA from 1 species